CUCUAUGGCCAUGCCACCCUGAACAAACCCGAUCCCAUUUGAUCUCAGAAGCUAAGCAGGGUCGGGCCUGGUUAGUAGUUGGAUGGGAGACCACCUAGGAAGACCAGGUGCUGUAGGUG
rfam:Pteropus alecto contig20485, whole genome shotgun sequence.